AGUGGACGCUGGCGGUAGGCCUAACACAUGCAAGUCGAACGGCAGCACAGUAAGAGCUUGCUCUUACGGGUGGCGAGUGGCGGACGGGUGAGGAAUACAUCGGAAUCUACUUUUUCGUGGGGGAUAACGUAGGGAAACUUACGCUAAUACCGCAUACGACCUACAGGUGAAAGCAGGGGAUCUUCGGACCUUGCGCGAUUGAAUGAGCCGAUGUCGGAUUAGCUAGUUGGCGGGGUAAAGGCCCACCAAGGCGACGAUCCGUAGCUGGUCUGAGAGGAUGAUCAGCCACACUGGAACUGAGACACGGUCCAGACUCCUACGGGAGGCAGCAGUGGGGAAUAUUGGACAAUGGGCGCAAGCCUGAUCCAGCCAUACCGCGUGGGUGAAGAAGGCCUUCGGGUUGUAAAGCCCUUUUGUUGGGAAAGAAAAGCAGCAGGUUAAUACCCCGCUGUUCUGACGGUACCCAAAGAAUAAGCACCGGCUAACUUCGUG
rnacentral:rRNA from 1 species